rnacentral:rRNA from 1 species
GUUAGGAAUAUUGGACAAUGGGCGCAAGCCUGAUCCAGCCAUGCCACGUGAGUGAUGAAGGCCUUCGGGUUGUAAAGCUCUUUAGCCGAUGAUUAUAAUGACUGUAGUCGGAAAAUAAGCCCCGGCUAACUUCGUGCCAGCAGCCGCGGUAAUACGAAGGGGGCGAGCGUUAUUCGGAAUCACUGGGCGUAAAGCGUGCGUAGGCGGCUUUGCAAGUUGGGAGUGAAAGCCCAGGGCUCAACCCUGGAAUUGCUCUCAAAACUGCAAGGCUCGAAUUCGGGAGAGGAUAGCGGAAUUGUCAGUGUAGCAGUGAAAUGCGUAGAUAUUGACAGGAACACCAGUGGCGUAAGCGGCUAUCUGGACCGAUAUUGACGCUGAGGCACGAAAGCGUGGGGAUCAAACAGGAUUAGAUACCCUGGUAGUCC